CUGCAGUCGAGCGACAGAUAAGGAGCUUGCUCCUUUGACGUUAGCGGCGGACGGGUGAGUAACACGUGGAUAACCUACCUAUAAGACUGGGAUAACUUCGGGAAACCGGAGCUAAUACCGGAUAAGAUUUUGAACCGCAUGGUUCAAUAGUGAAAGACGGCCUUGCUGUCACUUAUAGAUGGAUCCGCGCCGUAUUAGCUAGUUGGUAAGGUAACGGCUUACCAAGGCAACGAUACGUAGCCGACCUGAGAGGGUGAUCGGCCACACUGGAACUGAGACACGGUCCAGACUCCUACGGGAGGCAGCAGUAGGGAAUCUUCCGCAAUGGGCGAAAGCCUGACGGAGCAACGCCGCGUGAGUGAUGAAGGUCUUCGGAUCGUAAAACUCUGUUAUCAGGGAAGAACAAACGUGUAAGUAACUGUGCACGUCUUGACGGUACCUGAUCNNAAAGNCACGNCUAACUACGUGCCAG
rnacentral:rRNA from 1 species